ACCUGACCAAAGUGGGAUGCUUAACUGACUGAGCCACCCAGGUACCUCUUCAGCUUUAUCUUAAUGUGCCUGUCACCGCAGGACAGGAAAUGGACCCUUGCCUUCCUGACGCUGACAGUCAUCCUUUCCCAAAGGCAGCAAAGCUUCCUUGCUGAUCUCACUGAAUGUGUGUGAACCUGGCUGAGCCUUCACAAGAAGCUGCUGCUGGUUUUGAAUUGUCCCGCGAGCCAGGCCGGCAAGAGGAGCUGUGGUAGGAAGUGCUUGGUUGGCUAAGGUGACAAAAAUGCUUCCUGAAUUUCAAAAAAAGAAAUGACAGUUGAUGUUUUAUGCAGCCACAAAACAGUAGACAUACGGAAUAUUUAUAAAUGCAGUAUCUUGUGUGAAAGUGUUCUGUACAGACAGUCAUUUGAUUCAACAUCAGGCUGUUAGGAUCAAGUUCACAUUCUUCAUUCGCUCUGUCUCUCAGAACUUUGAGCUACAACUUGGUGCCAAAAGAGGGAAGCAGAUCCAGGUACGAUUAAUACUCCAAUUUCAGAUUAUUGCAAAUGACCCCCCUUCAAUAUGCUGCUAU